rnacentral:rRNA from 1 species
UACGAAGGGGGCGAGCGUUGUUCGGAUUUACUGGGCGUAAAGGGCGCGUAGGCGGCCUUGUUUGUCAGGCGUGAAAGCCCUGGGCUCAACCUGGGAGGUGCGCUUGGGACGGCGAGGCUUGAGAUCGGGAGAGGAGAGUGGAAUUCCCAGUGUAGAGGUGAAAUUCGUAGAUAUUCGGAGGAACACCAGUGGCGAAGGCGGCCAACUGGUCCGGUACUGACGCUGAGGUGCGAAAGCGUGGGGAGCAAACAGG